rnacentral:rRNA from 1 species
UACGUAGGGGGCAAGCGUUGUCCGGAAUCAUUGGGCGUAAAGCGCGCGUAGGCGGCCCGAUAAGUCCGCCGUGAAAGUCCAGGGCUCAACCCUGGAAUGCCGGUGGAAACUGUCGGGCUGGAGUCCGGAAGAGGCGAGUGGAAUUCCUGGUGUAGCGGUGAAAUGCGCAGAUAUCAGGAGGAACACCAAUGGCGAAGGCAGCUCGCUGGGACGGUACUGACGCUGAGACGCGAAAGCGUGGGGAGCGAACAGG